CUCAGAGUGAACGCUGGCGGCAGGCCUAACACAUGCAAGUCGAGCGGCAGCGCGGGGGCAACCCUGGCGGCGAGCGGCGGACGGGUGAGGAAUGCGUCGGAAUCUGCCUCUUUGUGGGGGAUAACGUAGGGAAACUUACGCUAAUACCGCAUACGACCUACGGGUGAAAGUGGGGGACCUUCGGGCCUCACGCAGAGAGAUGAGCCGACGCCGGAUUAGCUAGUUGGCGGGGUAAAGGCCCACCAAGGCGACGAUCCGUAGCUGGUCUGAGAGGAUGAUCAGCCACACUGGAACUGAGACACGGUCCAGACUCCUACGGGAGGCAGCAGUGGGGAAUAUUGGACAAUGGGCGCAAGCCUGAUCCAGCCAUGCCGCGUGUGUGAAGAAGGCCUUCGGGUUGUAAAGCACUUUUGUCCGGAAAGAAAAGCUUCCGAUUAAUACUCGGGAGUCAUGACGGUACCGAAG
rnacentral:rRNA from 1 species